GAUCAUGGCUCAGGAUGAACGCUGGCGGCGUGCCUAACACAUGCAAGUCGAGCGAAGCAAUCGAGAUGAAGUUUUCGGAUGGAUUCCUGAUUGACUGAGCGGGCGGACGGGUGAAGGUAACGCGUGGGUAACCUGCCUCAUACAGGGGGGAUAACAGUUAGAAAUGACUGCUAAUACCGCAUAAGCGCACAGUACCACAUGGUACGGUGUGAAAAACUCCGGU
rnacentral:rRNA from 1 species